UUCCUUCGGGAACAGUGGCGGACGGGUGAGUAACACGUGGGAACGUGCCCUUUGGUACGGAACAACUGAGGGAAACUUCAGCUAAUACCGUAUGUGCCCUUCGGGGGAAAGAUUUAUCGCCAUUGGAGCGGCCCGCGUUGGAUUAGGUAGUUGGUGAGGUAAAGGCUCACCAAGCCUACGAUCCAUAGCUGGUCUGAGAGGAUGAUCAGCCACACUGGGACUGAGACACGGCCAGACUCCUACGGGAGGCAGCAGUAGGGAAUCUUGCGCAAUGGGCGAAAGCCUGACGCAGCCAUGCCGCGUGAAUGAUGAAGGUCUUAGGAUUGUAAAAUUCUUUCACCGGGGACGAUAAUGACGGUACCCGGAGAAGAAGCCCCGGCUAACUUCGUGCCAGCAGCCGCGGUAAUACGAAGGGUGCAAGCGUUAAUCGGAAUUACUGGGCGUAAAGCGUGCGUAGACGGCGCAUUAAGUCAGCUGUGAAACCCCCGGGCUCAACCUGGGACCUGCAGCUGAUACUGAUGUGCUUGGAGUUUGAGAGAGGGUGGUGGAAUUCCUGGUGUAGCGGUGAAAUGCGUAGAGAUCAGGAGGAACACUAGUGGGCGAAGGCGGCACCUUGGUUUAAAACUUGGACGUUUGAGGGCACGAAAAGCGUUGGGGAGCAAACCAGGGAUUAGGAUACCCGUGGGUAGUCCAAGGCCCUAAAGGAUGAUCACUGGGACGUUGGGAGGAAUUAGCCCUCCUUAGUGGUUCGAAGCUAACGCGUUGAAGUGGAUCCGCCUGGGGGAGUACCGCUCCG
rnacentral:rRNA from 1 species